AGGGGUGUAGCUCAAUUUGGCAGAGCACCGGUCUCCAAAACCGGCGGUUGUAGGUUCGAGUCCUAUCGCCCCUGCCA
rnacentral:tRNA from 1 species